rfam:Hordeum vulgare subsp. vulgare, WGS project CAJW01000000 data, contig: morex_contig_1515208
GCGCCUGCCCAGGUGCGGAAGGUCAAGGAAGUUGGUGAACUGAUGACAGGGAAGCCGGCGACCGAAGCCCCGGUGAACGGCGGCCGUAACUAUAACGGUCCUAAGGUAGCGAAAUUCCUUGUCGGGUAAGUUCCGACCCGCACGAAAGGCGUAACGAUCUGGCCACUGUCUCGGAGAGAGGCUCGGUGAAAUAGACAUGUCUGUGAAGAUGCGGACUACCUGCACCUGGACAGAAAGACCCUAUGAAGCUUU